GCUACCUCUUAGGUAAAAUGGUUCCAGAACUGAAAAUGCAUUCAGGUGUGGGGACUGAGCAACAAAUGCUUGCCUCCUACUCCCUCAUCACUGGGACAAGAUCCCCAAGUAUAUGAUUGAGACCCUGUCUGGGGAGUGGAUAACUUCAACUGCAGAAAGAACAGAUGGAAACUGGCAUAGAUGAGGCAUGCACUUACUUUCACGGAGCAGGAGAGAGGACCAGCAUGAUGCUGGACAUGGCAUUGGGUCUCCAGAAGGAUAAGGACUCCAUCUUCCAAGACCAUGGUCCAUGGAAUGAGGGCCAAUGAGCACCAUCCUUUUAAGGGGGCCACAGGCAACAGGAAUCCUUAUGGAUAAACCAGGUAUUUUUGUCACAAAGAGAAAUUCUUCCUGAUACUGCUGUCUGCUCUCUGCUAUCAUGGGGAAUAGAUGGGCAUUUGCUGAGACAAUAA